CCUACGGGCGGCAGCAGUCGAAAAUCAUUCACAAUGGGGGAAACCCUGAUGGUGCGACGCCGCGUGGGGGAAUGAAGGUCUUCGGAUUGUAAACCCCUGUCAUGUGGGAGCAAAUUAAAAAGAUAGUACCACAAUAGGAAGAGACGGCUAACUCUGUUCCAGCAGCCGCGGUAAUACAGAGGUCUCAAGCGUUGUUCGGAAUCACUGGGCGUAAAGCGUGCGUAGGCUGUUUGGUAAGUCGUGUGUGAAAGGCGUGGGCUCAACCCGCGGACGGCACAUGAUACUGCGAGACUAGAGUAAUGGAGGGGCAAGCGGAAUUCUCGGUGUAGCAGUGAAAUGCGUAGAUAUCGAGAGGAACACUCGUGGCGAAGGCGGGUUGCUGGACAUUAACUGACGCUGAGGCACGAAGGCGAGGGGAGCGAAAGGGAUUAGAUACCCUAGUAGUC
rnacentral:rRNA from 1 species